CUUGACCCUCCUCGGAGCGGACGCCGAGCCUGUCCAGCCCGGGCAGCGCCUCCCGCAAGCCCCACGGCUUCCGCCGACAGCCCGCGGUGCCGGGGCGGGGACGAGGGUCGCCGGAAGUGCUGCGGGCCCCGGGAUCCCGGCCCGCGCCCCCGCGGCUUCAUGAAACCUGGGAACGCAGGUGCUGGAGAGAGACCCAGGACCUCCUGCAUGCUAGGUGACCUCUGUACCACAGAGCCCCACCCCCUGCCCUGAAACCAGCGAAGUAAUCCCAAAAUGUCCAUAUAACUUAAAAUGAAUUAGAAGAGGCAUAAAUAAAAUAUCUGAAAAAGAACAAAA